rnacentral:rRNA from 1 species
UACAGAGGUCUCAAGCGUUGUUCGGAUUCAUUGGGCGUAAAGGGUGCGUAGGCGGCUCGGUAAGUCGGGUGUGAAACCCCCAGGCUCAACCUGGGGACGCCACCCGAUACUGCUGUGGCCAGAGUCCAGUAGGGGAGUGUGGAAUUCCCGGUGUAGCGGUGAAAUGCGCAGAUAUCGGGAGGAACACCAGCGGCGAAGGCGGCACUCUGGGCUGGAACUGACGCUGAGGAGCGAAAGCGUGGGGAGCAAACAGG